rnacentral:rRNA from 1 species
GAUGAACGCUAGCGACAGGCUUAACACAUGCAAGUCGAGGGGCAGCACAGGUAGCAAUACCGGGUGGCGACCGGCGCACGGGUGAGUAACGCGUAUGCAACUUACCUAUCAGAGGGGGAUAACCCGGCGAAAGUCGGACUAAUACCGCAUAAAGCAGGGGUCCCGCAUGGGGAUAUUUGCUAAAGAUUCAUCGCUGAUAGAUAGGCAUGCGUUCCAUUAGGCAGUUGGCGGGGUAACGGCCCACCAAACCGACGAUGGAUAGGGGUUCUGAGAGGAAGGUCCCCCACAUUGGUACUGAGACACGGACCAAACUCCUACGGGAGGCAGCAGUGAGGAAUAUUGGUCAAUGGCCGAGAGGCUGAACCAGCCAAGUCGCGUGAGGGAGGAAGGUUCUAUGGAUCGUAAACCUCUUUUAUAAGGGAAUAAAGUGCGGGACGUGUCCCGUUUUGUAUGUACCUUAUGAAUAAGGAUCGGCUAACUCCGUG